GAUGAAGAACGUAGCGAAAUGCGAUAAGUAGUGUGAAUUGCAGAAUUCAGUGAAUCAUCGAAUCUUUGAACGCACAUUGCGCCCCUUGGUAUUCCAUGGGGCAUGCCUGUUCGAGCGUCAUCUACACCCUCAAGCUCUGCUUGGUGUUGGGCGUCUGUCCCGUCCCCGCGCGUGGACUCGCCCCAAAUCCAUUGGCAGCGUUCCUUACCCCCUCUCGCGCAGCACAUUGCGCUUCUCGAGGGCGGCUCCGGGACGCGAUCCAGCAAGAUGACCACCGUCUUUGACCUCGGAUCAGGUAGGGAUACCCGCUGAACUUAAGCAUAUCAAUAAGCGGAGGA
rnacentral:misc_RNA from 1 species